rnacentral:rRNA from 1 species
GACGAACGCUGGCGGCGUGCUUAACACAUGCAAGUCAAGGGGCCCGCAAGGGUAACCGGCGAACGGGUGCGUAACACGUGAGCAAUCUGCCUCGAUGUGGGGGAUAGCCGGCCCAACGGCCGGGUAAUACCGCAUACGCUCUCUGGGUGGCAUCACUUGGAGAGGAAACAUUUUUGGCAUUGAGAGGAGCUCGCGGCCUAUCAGCUAGUUGGUGGGGUAAUGGCCUACCAAGGCUUUGACGGGUAGCUGGUCUGAGAGGAUGGCCAGCCACAUUGGGACUGAGAUACGGCCCAGACUCCUACGGGAGGCAGCAGUGGGGAAUAUUGCGCAAUGGCCGAAAGGCUGACGCAGCGACGCCGCGUGGGGGGAUGAAGCAUUUCGGUGUGUAAACCCCUGUUGCCCGGGACGAACAACUGGUUUUGACCAGUCUGACGGUACCGGGUGAGGAAGCACCGGCUAACUCCGUGCCAGCAGCCGCGGUAAU